UUGAACGCUGGCGGCAUGCCUUACACAUGCAAGUCGAACGGCAGCACGGGUGCUUGCACCUGGUGGCGAGUGGCGAACGGGUGAGUAAUACAUCGGAACAUGUCCUGUAGUGGGGGAUAGCCCGGCGAAAGCCGGAUUAAUACCGCAUACGAUCUACGGAUGAAAGCGGGGGACCUUCGGGCCUCGCGCUAUAGGGUUGGCCGAUGGCUGAUUAGCUAGUUGGUGGGGUAAAGGCCUACCAAGGCGACGAUCAGUAGCUGGUCUGAGAGGACGACCAGCCACACUGGGACUGAGACACGGCCCAGACUCCUACGGGGGGCAGCAGUGGGGAAUUUUGGACAAUGGGCGAAAGCCUGAUCCAGCAAUGCCGCGUGUGUGAAGAAGGCCUUCGGGUUGUAAAGCACUUUUGUCCGGAAAGAAAUCCUUGGCUCUAAUACAGUCGGGGGAUGACGGUACCGGAAGAAUAAGCACCGGCUAACUACGUGCCAGCAGCCGCGGUAAUACGUAGGGUGCGAGCGUUAAUCGGAAUUACUGGGCGUAAAGCGUGCGCAGGCGGUUUGCUAAGACCGAUGUGAAAUCCCCGGGCUCAACCUGGGAACUGCAUUGGUGACUGGCAGGCUAGAGUAUGGCAGAGGGGGGUAGAAUUCCCACGUGUAGCAGUGAAAUGCGUAGAGAUGUGGAGGAAUACCGAUGGCGAAAGGCAGCCCCCUGGGCCAAUACUGACGCUCAUGCACGAAAGCGUGGGGAGCAAACAGGAUUAGAUACCCUGGUAGUCCACGCCCUAAACGAUGUCAACUAGUUGUUGGGGAUUCAUUUCCUUAGUAACGUAGCUAACGCGUGAAGUUGACCGCCUGGGGAGUACGGUCGCAAGAUUAAAACUCAAAGGAAUUGACGGGGACCCGCACAAGCGGUGGAUGAUGUGGAUUAAUUCGAUGCAACGCGAAAAACCUUACCUACCCUUGACAUGGUCGGAAUCCUGCUGAGAGGCGGGAGUGCUCGAAAGAGAACCGGCGCACAGGUGCUGCAUGGCUGUCGUCAGCUCGGGUCGUGAGAUGUUGGGUUAAGUCCCGCAACGAGCGCAACCCUUGUCCUUAGUUGCUACGCAAGAGCACUCUAAGGAGACUGCCGGUGACAAACCGGAGGAAGGUGGGGAUGACGUCAAGUCCUCAUGGCCCUUAUGGGUAGGGCUUCACACGUCAUACAAUGGUCGGAACAGAGGGUUGCCAACCCGCGAGGGGGAGCUAAUCCCAGAAAACCGAUCGUAGUCCGGAUUGCACUCUGCAACUCGAGUGCAUGAAGCUGGAAUCGCUAGUAAUCGCGGAUCAGCAUGCCGCGGUGAAUACGUUCCCGGGUCUUGUACACACCGC
rnacentral:rRNA from 1 species